AUGCUUUGGGGUUGGGGGCGAGAUGAAGGCGCUUGUAGGGAAGGGAAAGGAAAGGAAGGGCCUCCCUCCCCAAGGAGCCGGGCGCGCGCGAGCAAACUUUUCCCAACUUGUUCCCGGUUCAAACCCGCCGCGAGGACGGAUGGUGGGAGUGUCCCGCUGGUGGCACUUGGCGCGCGAGUCCGGGCUGACACCCGGGAGGGAAUCGCGAGGGGAGAGAGGAGAGGAAAAGCCCCUCCAGCGUCCCUCCGCCGCGCGUGGGCUUCAGCCACAAGUCGCUUGCUUUGCCUGGAAAAGGAGAGGGAGAGUGGGGCGCUGGGGCUAGGGGCGCUUGGUGUGACGGAACCAGGGUUAUGUGGCGUGUGGUUGCGCUUUCCCCGCAGGUGGAAAGGCGAGGUGGCUUUGCCUAACGUCGCUGCCGAGUUUCCACGCGCGACUCUCCCUCUCCGCGCAUUUUUUCAAGCAGGGACUGAUUGGCCAUCUGUCGGGAGUGUUUUGACUGUGUGCUCCUGCCCUGCCAGCCCCAUGCAGGAGGCACAGCGUGCGGCCCCGCCACACAAUAAACAACAAUAGAGCCCUCCGCCCGGAGUCGGGAACUAGCUUCCCAAAAGGGGGAAGAGAGAGGAGAGAGCGGCGAGGAGAGAGAGCAGAGCAGGCGAAGACCAGGCAGCGAAGCCGAGCCGAGGAAGGAAAGAAGGAAGGAAGGAAAGAGGAAGCAAGCCCAGUGUUUCAAAGUCUCCUUCCCACUUUGGAGUUGUUUUGGUGAGGGAUUGGGGAGGGUGGAGGGGGAGAGAGGGGAGGUUUAGCCUUAGCCGGCGUGUUUGUUUUGUUUCUGCUUCUCCUCCUCCUCCCCCCCCGCCUCUCCUCUCGAGGAAAAAUAACACCCCGCGGAGGGAGAUUUUGUUAUUUUUUGCUGUUAUGAGUCCCUGACGUCACAUCCACCUGCUGGGUAAACAAGCAAAAAAAAAAAAGGAGAGAGAGGGAAAGAGAGAGAUUGCAGUUGGGAAAAAAGAGAACUAGGGAAAGGAGGCAGAUUGGAGACACAUUUGAGAAGGAAAAGAAAGGAGAAAUGAGGAAAUUAAAGGGGAAGGAGAGGUGCCUUGCCUGAAAGGCUCUGGGCUGGUUUGGGGGUUUCUCUCUUCCUUACCAAACACAAGGAUAUUAAAAGGAGUUGGGAAUGAGAAAGAGGGGUGCCUUUCUUCCCAAGUGCGAGGGCUUUUUCCUCUUCUUUCCCUCUCCUUUCUUUCUCUGUCUCUUCCUUCUCGCCCCCUUUUUGCACUAUUACCCAAUGAAAGGCGCCGAGUUCGAGAGGUGAAAGUUCAGCAGGAGGACAAACCCCCGCUGCCUUGCAAGGCAAAGCCAAGCAGACAUGGCCAGCCUUUGGAAAGAGAGAGAAAAACACAUACACACACACACAAAAGGGAGCAACAAGGCGAAGGCGCGCGCACCCCAGGCCCUUCUGGCGCGCGCUCCCUGGCCCCCGAGGGCUCUUUGGGAGGGAAAGGAAAGAGGAAGGAACUCCUCUAGUUGGGGACUAUGGGGCGGGAAAUAGAAAGACCCUGUAUGUGGUGUAUGUGGUUCUUUUUGCCUUCCCUCCUCAGCGAGGCGCAAAGUUGGCUCAGCCUGCCAAAGGAAAGGGUUGUGUUUCCAUGCAAAGUGACCUGGCGACGGGGAAGAAAGAAAAAAGGUGGCGCUUGGGUUAAACGUGUCAGCAAAGUUACAUGGGUCGUGGUGCAUUUUCCGGGCUGGGAUGGCCAAUCUCUCCUGACGUUUCGCCCACAUCUAGGGCAGGCAUCCUCAGAGGUUGUGGGGUAUAUUAGAAAACUAAGCAAGGGAGGUUUCUAUAUCUGGAAUAAUGUCCAGGAUGGUAGAAAGGACUCGUUGUCUGUUGGAGGCCAAUGUGAAUGUUGUAAUGAAUCACCUUGAUUAGCAUUAAUGGCCUUGCCAGCUUCAUGUCCUGGCUUCUUCCUGCCUGGGGGAAUCCUUUGUGUGGAGGUGUUAGCUGUCCCUGAUUGAUUCCUGUCUGGAAUUCCUCUGCCAGACAGCCCGGAAAAUGCACAACAACCCUGUGAUUCCGGCCAUGAACGCCUUCGACAACACAAAGUUACAUGGCUCGCCCAGCUUGCUGCCACGUUUAGCCCAAGCGCCACCUUGUUUCUUUCUCCGAAAGCCUGGCCAGGGCAGGUUGUUUUUUGUGGAAAGGGAGCGUUUCGCCUUCCAGGGACUCUCGUGCCACAUUGGGGCCUUUUGGCCCGCUUUCGAGAUGAUCUACACCUAUCAGUCCUUCUCCCUAAAAGGGCCGUUUCUUCGCCUCCUCCACCAAAGCACCGAAGCCACACGUUUCCUGCGACUCCAGCUCUUUCCAACUUUCCAAGCAGCCUUUAUUUACCUGCCGUUUAAUAAAACUUUCGCCCGAAAAUUCUGCAGAGCCAUUCUCCUUUCUUUUUGUUGGGGGAACCUGAGCUGUUAGGCUCAAAAUAAUCCCUUAGUUGGGGUGAUUCCGCCAUAAAUAUAGCAGAGUAUCAGAAGUCCAGCCAGGGAUGGAAAGGGUUACUUUUACCUGCCUUUUAACUCGCUGUGAAUAAUAUCCCCAGCUCCUUUCUGACUCUCGAAGCUGUGGUCCAACCACUAAACAAUACCCCCUCUUUGUAAUGCAUAAUCAAACCCACUUAUUCACUCAUUUUAUACUAUUUAUAAAUACGGGGCUCUAAUACUAUUUAUAAAUACGGGGCUCUAAUAAAACGGUGUUCAUAGCCUUUACAAUAUGUUCUUGCACAUUGUUGGAGGGCUUUCUCUCUCUCUCUCUCUCUCUCUCUAUAUAUAUAUAUAUAUAUAUAUAUAUUCAUAGGAGUUUUAACCAGUGACAGCUAGGAGGAACUAUUGAUUAAGGGGAAAUACUGGCUCCAGGAUCUCCUGCAGCAAAUUCUCAGGGUCAACUUUUUGUGCAAAGUGUGGUUAUAUAUAUUAAAACACUAUGAUUGUAUGCCUUCUUCUCCUGUUUUUUUAAUCCCCCCCCCCCCUGAGAUAUCUAAAUAUUUGUGGCAAUCACUAUUACAUCACAUUUUAAGGCAAAUUAAUUUUAAAGCACACCUUUAAAAAUGCUUCACUGUCUCCCAUUUAAAUUAAAUGUGUUUAAUGUUGAAUGGUUCAAGCUCCUGGAAUAAAGAU
rnacentral:lncRNA from 11 species